rnacentral:rRNA from 1 species
ACGUAGGGUGCAAGCGUUAUCCGGAAUUAUUGGGCGUAAAGAGUGCGCAGGCGGGCUGUUAAGUCCGAUGUGAAAUCCCAGGGCUCAACCCUGGAACGGCUUGGAUACUGGACGUCUUGAGUGCAGGAGAGGAAAGGGGAAUUCCCAGUGUAGCGGUGAAAUGCGUAGAUAUUGGGAGGAACACCGGUGGCGAAGGCGGCUUUCUGGACUGUGACUGACACUGAGAUGCGAAAGCUUGGGUAGCAAACAG